rnacentral:lncRNA from 1 species
UCUGAUAUCCUUGUUAGAGUUCGGCAAAUAAAUCUUCUUUGUUAUCAGUUGGAUUUGCAAUUGUCUUAAUCAAUGUAGACCACGCAGGAUAUAUACAAAGGGUGGAGCUUACUAUAUAUCGGGGGUCGCCGGCCGUCGAAAAUUUUAUAAUUACUAGAGUACUCGUUUCUAAUAAAUUCUUGUAAAAUCAAACAGUUUCAAUAAACUUAGCUGUAGUUCAACGAUAACGUCACCGUUUCAUGCUUGCAAUGUCUGUAGUUUGAACCCUAUAAACAGCUAUUUGAUUCCAGCAUUUUGUUAACAUUUAACUAUCUUCAACUAUUUAACUAACGUUCCAACUUUCAAUUCCUUAAAACCUAAACCUAAUAAUUAACUAAUCUAUAAAUUGCGGCCCUACACCAUCCUUUUUUAAUUUUCUUCUUCUUCUUCUUAACUAUUCCGGCGCGGUGCCUCCACUCCAAUUCACAGUGAUGUUGACAUAAUCACUAAUUCUGUAAUAGCAUGUAUCAUGCCAUGAUUCAUUUACCAUAAACCUUUGACUUGGGAUCGACCUGUUCAUAAUCCAAUGAAAUAUCAGGGAUUGACCAAGAAUGUUGAUGUCGUUGGUUGAACCUGUCGUCCUAAAAUACGCGCAUGCCAUAUCCGGGUGUUAUAACUUGCGACUGCUCAAGGGUUACUGUUGGUCGAUGCACAUGUCCAGUAUGUUGGCAACCAGUAGGGCAAUUCCUCCACUCCCAAUGCAUGUAGUCAAUGGAGCCAAUCAUGCCUGGAAAUCCACGUUGAGAUGCUUUCGCCAAUAGUUUCUCCAAAUCUUCACGUGUUGGCUCACGGAGGUACUCGGCCCCGUAAACAUACACAACGCCAAUGCAUAAUUUCCUCAAGAUCUCAAGAGCAUUACUCUCCCCAAGUUGAAAGUAUUCAUCAAUAGAAUCACCAGUGCAACCCUAUGCUAACAUAUGAAGGGUGGCCGUGAUAUUCAGUUCAGGCGAUAGUGAUAAAUGACCAACAACAUCACGACGUCGUUGAAAGUUUGGGUCAGCUUGCACCACCCCUAUAAAAAUGCGUCGAAACAAGGUCGGAUACUAAUGAAAGUGCCUUCUAAAAACCCGCUCAUUGUACGUUGGCAUCUGUCCAUCACGCCCAAAGUAAUCAUCCAUCAAGCAUCCAUGGGAAGCUUCCCUAAUGUGUCUAGUAUACCCACGGUUUUGGGUUCGCCUAUAACGAGAUACACGCCUUGCUAGCUCUAAUAAAUAGAGAUGCAUUUAACGUUGAAUUUCAAACAUUUGAU